rnacentral:rRNA from 1 species
CCCUUAGAUGUUCUGGGCCGCACGCGCGCUACACUGAUCAGUGCAACAAGCAUCCGUCCUUGGCCGACAGGCCCGGGCAAUCUUUGAACGCUGAUCGUGAUGGGGACAGACUUUUGCAAUUUUUGGUCUUCAACGAGGAAUUCCUAGUAAACGCAAGUCAUCAACUUGCAUUGAUUACGUCCCUGCCCUUUGUACACACCGCCCGUCGCACCUACCGAUUGAAUGGUCCGGUGAAGCCUCCGGAUUGGCGUGCACCCUCGGGUGCUGCCGAGAAGUUGGCUAAACCUUACCAUUUAGAGGAAGGUGAAGUCGUAACA